rnacentral:rRNA from 1 species
UGAACGCUAGCUACAGGCUUAACACAUGCAAGUCGAGGGGCAGCAUGAUCUGUGCUUGCACAGAUUGAUGGCGACCGGCGCACGGGUGAGUAACGCGUAUCCAACCUUCCCCUUAGUAGGGCAUAGCCCGGCGAAAGUCGGAUUAAUACCCUAUGUUCUUCGUCGAGGACAUCUGAAGUGAAGCAAAGAUUUAUCGCUAAGGGAUGGGGAUGCGUCCGAUUAGGUUGUUGGCGGGGUAACGGCCCACCAAGCCUUCGAUCGGUAGGGGUUCUGAGAGGAAGGUCCCCCACACUGGUACUGAGACACGGACCAGACUCCUACGGGAGGCAGCAGUGAGGAAUAUUGGUCAAUGGGCGAGAGCCUGAACCAGCCAAGUAGCUGCAGGGAUGACGGCCCUAUGGGUUGUAAACUGCUUUUUAUACGGGGGAUAAAGUGAGGGACGUGUCCCUUAUUGUAGGUACCGUAUGAAUAAGGACCGGCUAAUUCCGUGCCAGCAGCCGCGGUAAUACGGAAGGUCCGGGCGUUAUCCGGAUUUAUUGGGUUUAAAGGGAGCGCAGGUGGGACGCUAAGCGUGUUGUGAAAUGUACCGGCUCAACCGGUGAACUGCAGCGCGAACUGGUGUUCUUGAGUGAGUACGACGCGGACGGAAUUCGUGGUGUAGCGGUGAAAUGCUUAGAUAUCACGAAGAACCCCGAUUGCGAAGGCAGUCCGCGAGUCCUUUACUGACGCUAAAGCUCGAAGGUGCGGGUAUCGAACAGGAUUAGAUACCCUGGUAGUCCGCACGGUAAACGA